CAGCCGCCGCGGGAAUACGUAGGUCCCGAGCGUUGUCCGGAUUUAUUGAGCGUAAAGCGAGCGCAGGCGGUUAGAUAAGUCUGAAGUUAAAGGCUGUGGCUUAACCAUAGUACGCUUUGGAAACUGUUUAACUUGAGUGCAAGAGGGGAGAGUGGAAUUCCAUGUGUAGCGGUGAAAUGCGUAGAUAUAUGGAGGAACACCGGUGGCGAAAGCGGCUCUCUGGCUUGUAACUGACGCUGAGGCUCGAAAGCGUGGGGAGCAAAUGGGAUUAGAUACCCCCGUAGUCCCUGUCUCUUAUACA
rnacentral:rRNA from 1 species